rnacentral:piRNA from 1 species
UAAUAGCUAUUAAAGCAUAUA